GAUGAACGCUGGCGGCGUGCUUAACACAUGCAAGUCGAACGAAGCAUUUAGGACAGAUUCCUUCGGUUUGAAGUUCUUUAUGACUGAGUGGCGGAUGGGUGAGUAACGCGUGGGUAACCUGCCUUGUACUGGGGGUUGGCAGCUGAAAACGGCUGUUAUUACCCCAUAGGCGACCAUUGUUGAUUGCAAUGGUGGGAAAACCUCGGGGGUAUAAGAUGGACCCGCGUCUGAUUUGCUAGUUGGGGGGAUAACAGCCCACCAAGGCGACGAUCAGUAGCCGACCUGAGAGGGUGACCGGCCACAUUGGGACUGAGACACGGCCCAGACUCCUACGGGAGGCAGCAGUGGGGAAUAUUGCACAAUGGAGGAAACUCUGAUGCAGCGACGCCGCGUGAGUGAAGAAGUAAUUCGUUAUGUAAAGCUCUAUCAGCAGGGAAGAUAGUGACGGUACCUGACUAAGAAGCUCCGGCUAAAUACGUG
rnacentral:rRNA from 1 species